UCAAGUGAAUAAGAGCAUGUGGUGGAUGCCUUGGCGAUGAUAGGCGAAGAAGGACGUGAUAGCCUGCGAUAAGCUCCGGUGAGUUGGCAAAUGAACUUUGACCCGGAGAUUUCCGAAUGGGGAAACCCACCCGAACAGGGUAUUUGCUUUUGAAUACAUAGAAAGCAAAGGCGAACCAAGCGAACUGAAACAUCUAAGUAGCUUGAGGAAAAGACAUCAACCGAGAUUCCGAAAGUAGUGGCGAGCGAAAUUGGAUCAGCCUUCCAGUGAUAGCGCAAUCGUUAGCAAAACGAGGUGGAAAACUCGGCCGUAGCAGGUGAUAGCCCUGUAUGCGAAAGCGAAUGUGUGGUACUAGACUGGUAACAAGUAGGGCGGGACACGUGUAAUCCUGUCUGAAUAUGGGGGGACCAUCCUCCAAGGCUAAAUACUCAUCAUCGACCGAUAGUGAACAAGUACCGUGAGGGAAAGGCGAAAAGAACCCCGGGAGGGGAGUGAAAUAGAUUCUGAAACCGCAUGCUUACAAAAAGUCGGAGCCCUUUGGGGUGACGGCGUACCUUUUGUAUAAUGGGUCAGCGACUUACAUUCAGUGGCGAGGUUAACCGAGUAGGGGAGCCGCAGAGAAAUCGAGUCCGAAUAGGGCGUUUGAGUCGCUGGGUGUAGACCCGAAACCAGGUGAUCUAUCCAUGACCAGGAUGAAGGUGCCGUAACAGGUACUGGAGGUCCGAACCGACUGGUGUUGCAAAACCAGCGGAUGAGUUGUGGAUAGGGGUGAAAGGCUAAACAAACCUGGAAAUAGCUGGUUCUCUCCGAAAACUAUUUAGGUAGUGCCUCACGUAUUGCCUUUGGGGGUAGAGCACUGUUUUGGCUAGGGGGUCAUGGCGACUUACCAAACCAAGGCAAACUCCGAAUACCAAAGAGCAGAGCGUGGGAGACAGUGCACCGGGUGCUAACGUCCGGACACGAGAGGGAAACAACCCAGACCGCCAGCUAAGGUCCCUAAAAUUGGCUAAGUGGGAAACGAAGUGAGAAGGCUAAAACAGUCAGGAUGUUGGCUUAGAAGCAGCCACCAUUUAAAGAAAGCGUAAUAGCUCACUGAUCGAGUCGUCUUGCGCGGAAGAUGUAACGGGGCUCAAGCCAGUUACCGAAGCUGCGGAUGCACAGCAAUGUGCGUGGUAGGAGAGCGUUCUGUAAGUCUGUGAAGGCGGCCUGAGAAGGCUGCUGGAGAUAUCAGAAGUGCGAAUGCUGACAUGAGUAGCGUUAAAGCGGGUGAAAAGCCUGCUCGCCGUAAGCGCAAGGUUUUCUAUGCAACGUUCAUCGGCGUAGAGUAAGUCGGCCCCUAAGGUAAGGCAGAGAUGCGUAGCUGAUGGGAAACAGGUUAAUAUUCCUGUACCGAUGUGCAGUGCGAUGUGGGGACGGAUCUUAAUAGGUUGUCCGGGUUUUGGAUAUCCCGGUUUAGAUGGAAGUAGGUGUGCAUCAGGCAAAUCCGGUGCAUAUGUGCCCAGGCCAUCGAUCGAGCAAGCUUGCUUGCGAAGCAACUGAACGAGGUCCCAGGAAAAGCCACUAAGCUUCAGCUGCACACGACCGUACCGCAAACCGACACUGGUGCGCGAGAUGAGUAUUCUAAGGCGCUUGAGAGAACUCAGGAGAAGGAACUCGGCAAAUUGACACCGUAACUUCGGGAGAAGGUGUGCCCUAGUAGUGUGAUGAGAGCAUCUGAGCAUGAAUGGGUUGCAAAAAAUAGGUGGCUGCGACUGUUUAUUAAAAACACAGCACUCUGCAAACACGAAAGUGGACGUAUAGGGUGUGACGCCUGCCCGGUGCCGGAAGGUUAAGUGAUGGGGUGCAAGCUCUUGAUCGAAGCCCCGGUAAACGGCGGCCGUAACUAUAACGGUCCUAAGGUAGCGAAAUUCCUUGUCGGGU
rnacentral:rRNA from 1 species